AGCAGCCGCGGUAAUUCCAGCUCCAAUAGCGUAUAUUAAAGUUGUUGCAGUUAAAAAGCUCGUAGUUGAAUUUCGGGGUCUGUCCAUUGGUCGGGCUUAACGGUCCGUACUGGUGUGAUAGGUUCCUACCUUCUGAAUAACCGGCAUGCCAUUCAGUUGGUGCGCCGGGGAAGCAGAGCUAUUACCUUGAAAAAAUUAGAGUGCUUAAAGCAGGCUAUUGCUUGAAUAGAUUAGCAUGGAAUAAUAAAAUAGGACGGCAUGGUUCUAUUUUGUUGGUUUCUAGGAUCACCGUAAUGAUUAAUAGGGAUAGUUGGGGGCAUUAGUAUUCAAUUGUCAGAGGUGAAAUUCUUGGAUUUAUUGAAGACUAACUUCUGCGAAAGCAUUUGCCAAGGAUGUUUUCAUUAAUCAAGAACGAAAGUUAGGGGAUCGAAGACGAUCAGAUACCGUCGUAGUCUUAACCAUAAACUAUGCCGACUAGGGAUCGGACGAUGUUAAUUUUUUAAUGACUCGUUCGGCGCCUUACG
rnacentral:rRNA from 1 species